rnacentral:misc_RNA from 1 species
UAAAAAAAAAAAAAUCCGUAUCUGAUGCUUUUCUGGAUAAUUGACAAUGUGCUAAUGAGUUGCAUAUUGAAAUACCCCAUGAAAAUUCUGUCAACUGACAGUUCAUGGGUCUCAGCCAGUAUGUCUUCUGCCAUAUCCAUAUGAUUUGCAUUUAUUCUUUACCACCAAACCACAUAUUUGGGGAAGUCAAAUGAUUGGAUUACUGGAUGAUCCUUAAGUUCUAAAUGUUGGAUCAGUUGGUCAAGUGCG